GGGAAGUUAGCUCAGUGGUAGAGCACUUGCCUUGCAUGCAUGAGGCCCUGGGUUUGAUUCCUCA
rnacentral:tRNA from 1 species